AACGAACGCUGGCGGCAUGCCUAACACAUGCAAGUCGAACGAGACCUUCGGGUCUAGUGGCGCACGGGUGCGUAACGCGUGGGAACCUGCCCUUAGGUUCGGAAUAAUUACCUGAAAGGGGUGCUGAUACCGGAUAAUGUCUUCGGACCAAAGAUGUAUCGACUUUGAUUGGGCCCGCGUUGGUUUAGAUAGUUGGUAAGGUAAAAGCCCACCAAGGCGACGAUGCAUAGCUGGGCUGAGAGGACGAUCAGCCACACUGGGACUGAGACACGGACCGGACUUCUACGGAAGGAAGCAGGGGGGAACAAUGGACGAUGCGCGAAAGCCUGAGCCAGCCAGAUCGCGUGAGUGAUGAAGGCGUGAGGGUUGUAAAGCUCUUUUGAACGUGAUGAUAAUGACGGUACCUGAAGAAAAAGCGCCGGCUAACUACGUG
rnacentral:rRNA from 1 species